rnacentral:rRNA from 1 species
AUAAGACGAAAAGACCCCAUGGAGCUUCAAACCCAACUACACCCUUAACUACCACAACCGCACAACCUCUUAGGGCCCUGUAUAGUUGGUUUUAGGUUGGGGCGACCACGGAGUACAACCAAACCUCCGCAAUGGACGGGACCACUCCCUUAUCUAAGAGCCACACCUCUAAGAAUUAAAACACUAACAUAAAAUGAUCCAUGAUCUGAUCAAUGAACCAAGUUACCCUGGGGAUAACAGCGCAAUCCAUUUCAAGAGCCCUUAUCGACAAG